AGGAACUUCAUAAGCUAAAGAGAGGCUUGACUCGAAUUAUCAGACGAAGAGAGGAGGAAAUUCAAAGGUGAAGACUGUAUCUACUGUUGGGGAGGAUGCUAUUUCAUGCCCAUGUGAAGACUUUGCAGGACCAGAAGACAACCAGAAAUUGGCCCAAUGCAUGCUGUAACUGAUUGAAGGUGUUUCCAGGAUUCCUUAAAGGGUAAG